UGAGCAUCGGCCCGCGGGUUCAGGGUUGCGGGUUCAGGGCCCGCGGGUUCGGUUGCACGUUCGGAGCGCACGACGCGCGG
rnacentral:tRNA from 1 species